GUGUCCAGAGAGAGGAGGACGGAUUGGUAAGGAUCCCAAGUUCUUGCUAUGGUCUCAGCUAUAAAAAUCAUCCAGGCUUGGCGCGGAUAUUUUGCAAAAGGUGGGAGGUAAGACUUGGGAGAAUUUGCUGCCAAGUGGGAGGCGGAAUGUGGAGGCAGCUUCCUCUGUGACGUUUCUGGAGCCACGUUCGUUCACUCAGCUGGACGUCCACUGAGAAGCUCCCUAGACCAGAAGAUAACGUCUAAGUCACGGCCUCUUCCUCCAGUCCCUCCUAGGUGAGGUGGUGGGGCUGGGCGGACGGCCUCUUCCUCCGGUGGGGCAGGGUGGCAGGGAGAUGAUGGCGGACGCAGGGGUCAUUCACAGUGUGGAAGGGGCAGGGCUGAGAUCGGGAGAAACAAGCCCUUCCUUCUGGGUGUGGAUGCUGGGGAAGUCCAGAAGGCAGCAUUUCAGCAGAAUCUUGGCACUGACGAGGAAGGAGAGGUGGGCUCAGGGGCAGCAGCGUCAGAGCCUCGAGCCUCUGGGGUGGGCGGUGGGGCGGAGGGGUGAGCUGAAACUUGGGACCACACCUGGAGAGCUGUCAGCAGCUGGGGUCCCUGCUGGUCCCUGGGCACAGCCUCCCCAUCACCGUCACCUGGGACCUGCCCCACCUGCUCAGGCCCACCCAGCCUCCCCAUCAUCGUCACCUGGGACCUGCCCCACCUGCUCAGGCCCACCCAGCCUCCCCAUCACCGUCACCUGGGACCUGCCCCACCUGCUCAGGCCCACCCAGCCUCCCCAUCACCGUCACCUGGGACCUGCCCCACCUGCUCAGGCCCACCCAGCCUCCCCAUCACUGUCACCUGGGACCUGCCCCACCUGCUCAGGCCCACCCAAACCUGCCGAGCUGGAGGCCGCCUGUUAACCGGACUCUCCAGUGAGCGCUGGCAGCUGAGACGCUCUGGCCAGCACCAUGUUUGGUGGCUACCCCUGUAUUGGGGGAUGAUUCCCUGGAAAGUUCCUGAAGAGUCUUCAGUCCUUUGCAGAGUAAAACAAACGGGAAUGUGGUCACCAAGGGCUUACCAACUCUUCUGUUUUCCAUAGAGACAAAAUGGAAAAUGAUCUCAAACACAGAAAUGGAUCCAUUAAAAUAAUUAGGACAUUUCUGAUGUAACAACAGAAACAGUGCCCAUAGCAGGUGGGCGCUCCCACCUCUUAGACAUCAAUCACCGUAGCGAGCAGAGGCGCGAACCGGAGGUGCCAUCUCUGAUAGGGAAGAGGGUUAGUUUCCGUUUUUCCUUCACCAGCCGCUCGAAGGAGCAGGCUUGCCUGCAGUGUCUGCGCAUUCGGGAUGACACGCUCUACAUUGUAUUACCUGGGAUAUGGAGGUUAAUACAGACGUCUUUUAUGACUGUUGUCCCCCAGGGACAGUUAUGGAAAUAAGGUGUCUAUCUCAGAGUCCUCUCAGUGAGGAAACAUGUUAAAUAAAGAGAAAUAAAUAAAUAAGUCUCAAAAAGUAACUCACAAACAUUUUUGCAAAUAUAACGUGCGUGAGCUAUUGUAUCCCGAGGGUAUAGAAUUAACUUGCACCAUGAUAAUUUACAUUUUAUGCGAGUUUUAUUUUUAUACACCUGCUUUUCUUUGCAAUUCAUGAAAAAACAUAUUGAUAUCAAGGCAAAUGUGCUGUCACAGAAUUCAUAAUCGUGACUGGGAGAUCUCUCAUCACUGUGACAUGUCUCCUUUAUGCUAACUCUAGCAGUUCAGAAAAAAAUACAUGUUAUAAACAGCUAAUAAAACUUCCCCGUUUGUUAGUCAGAUACAUUUUCUUCCCAUUCCAGAGUCAAGUGGCUCUUGGCUUUGAGGGAAGAGCAGGAGUUGAAGGAGAGGAGAGGAGGUUGUGCGUCCAACCAGAAGAGUUGCCUGGUUAAUUGCGGCAGGUGUUGCUUUAGAGUUCAGUUUUGGGGGUUUCAAACUGUGGGUGUGAGAAACAUCCAGGGUAGUCCAUUCCAAAGUCUGAGUGUAUUUGGGGUCUCAGAGUGUGGUGGGCCUGCAGAGGGUCAGCACCCUCUUUCUGUAAAGGGCUGAAGAGCUUAGAUGUGGCCAUGGCCGGUCCUGUGGACUCGGCUACAGCCGCUCACCUCUGCCUCAGAGCAGAGACAGGCGCCACGUGCGGUGUGGCCAACAGGAGGUCAUCUGUGCAGCUGGAUUCUGAACUGGUGGGAUUUCCACAUCGUGACAUAUUCUUCUUCCCUUCAUAUUUCCAUGUGUUUAAAAACGUAAAAGUCAUUCUUAGCUCAUAAGCCAGUGGCAGGUGGGUUUGGCUGUGGCCAUGGUGGGCGAACCCUGCUCAGAAGGCCCCGGAGCCGGGCUUGGGCUCUGAUUGUGUGGAGCAACGGACACAUUGUCCACCAGAGGGGAAGCUGUGCCUGCCUUGCCCUCCUGGUCUGUGACCCCGUCCAUCUGAUGUGGGGGCCACCUCACCAUCUCUGCGAAGGCUUGUUGUGGUGGUUCGGUGCUCCUGGAGAGGGGAGCCCGGGGCAACUGCUGUCAGCAGACUGGAUUGAGUGUAUUCUAUUCCUCACCGAGAGAUGAAUGAGCUUCCAAAAUCUGAACAGCUUGGCGACCCAUCAAGCCGCUGGACAGGGACCGAGUUUGCCAGGCAGGCAGGCCGGCUGCCCUCCCUUCUUCUUCUUCAGGGACUGUGUUCCUGGCUGGCUGGGCUGGGCGUCCAGGCCCAGCGUCCACCGAGUGCCCUGUGGUGACAUGGGCCUCACUCCUGCUGCUGCCUGGCCUUUCCUCCAGGACAUCUGCUCUGGCACCCAUCUUUGGAAACUCAUCUUCGGGAGAGGAUGCAAUGCCUACACCCCAGAGGAUGCAUGAGGACCCUCAGAGCUCCCGGUAUGACACAGGACCACGUGCCUUCAUGGACCAUGGACAGAACAUUUAUCUGUGACCCUCCUCCUGCAAGCCCGGAAGCCCACGUGACGGGCGUGCAUCUGUGGAGUGGGUCCGCUCCCACUGUGUUUGACAGGCCGAUAAACGGACCACAGCAGUGGGCAGCACCACGCCGCCUUCUGAGAGGAGAACACAGCUCUCCCCACCGUUCCAGCCACAGUGGGUUUGGAAGGACAGGGCCUUCCUCGCCUGCCUAUAACCUUCAGGGAGAGAGAAGUGAAGAAUGAGUGGAAUCUUGCACUCUGCCUCCAAAUGAUCACCCAUCAGUACAUUCAGAUUCAAAUACGAAGUGGAAAAGAUAAAAUCCAUGGAGAAGCUGCGUUCCUGGAGGCUCACCGUUCAUGUAGACCUACUCAUUCCCCCGAGCACGCUGAGUCCAGCCUUGCAGAUAAAGAAUUUCAUCCAGAAAGAAAAGCAAAAAAUACAGCUUCUGUGAUCUUGCAAUUGGUGCCCACAUUUGACUAAACGUGUUGCGGAAGAACAAAAUGAAAAGCCUCCAUCAGCCAGCGGAUGUCAUGAUAAUUAUUUCUGGUAUGAGUAUCAGAGAAUCACAUCUUAAGGUAGGGUAUUUUGGGGAGGUGCUGAUGAGUGAAUGCCAGAAAUAAUAAUCUGACAUUAAGCCUUUGUGAAUCUGACCAAAUGAAUGUCGAAGAAGAGAAUUUAUGGUGAAGUCAGAUUGCAUGCUAUUUCAUGAAUGCACUUCUUUUAGAAUGUAAAUGACAGAAAAAUUAUUCAUUAUACCUAUAAUCAAACUACAAGUUUAAUAGAUAAUGAAAAUGCACACAGAAACUAUUAAAAUGACACCAGAAAUAUGGCUUCAAUCAACAAAAGGCAAGACAUUCAAAGUGCAAAAAAACUUUAACAAAAAUGCUUUUAUUGCUCCAGAUCAGGAGGGCUCUUCAAUGCUGGGAGCAGCUUAAUGUCAGGGACUCUGCGUGCUCCAAAUCUUUUGAUAAAAAAUCAUGCCUUGGGAAAAUCGUUUUUAUGUAGUUGUUUCAUGAUUUGAGUAUCACAGAGGAUUUUGCAGAAUAAUUUGGGAAUAAAGUCACAGAGCAAAAAUCAUGAGAGCAAAUGGUUACAAGAUUGUUAAAAAAAAAAUCUAGUGUAGAAAUGGUAUCGUUUCCUAAGAGGAGUCAGGUUUUUGUUUUGUUUUUCAAGAAAGGGUCUUAUUCUGUUGCUCAGGAUGGAGUACAGUGGUGUGAUCACAGCUCACUGCAGCCUCAAACCCCUGGGCUUGAGAGAUCCUCCUGCCUCAGCUUCUCAAGUAACCGGAAUCACAGGUGCCCCCCACUGUGUCCAGCUACGUUUUUUAUUUUUUGCAGAGACAGCGUCUCGCUAUGUUGCCCAGGGUCAUCUCAAACUCCUGUCCUCAAGUUAUCCUCCCAUCUUGGCCUCCCGACGUGUUGGGAUUACAGCGAGCACAGGCCACUGUGCCCAGCCGAGGACUUAGGCUUUAAUGGGGGAAAGAGCUUUGGCUUCCCUUUGAAUUUUCUCCUUUCUGUUUGAGCUUAAUUGAAUCUUUGAUUUUUCACAUGAAACACAUCUCCAAUCCAUCUCCUUCCUGUAUCUCCACAUGUUCGGGGGAGUCUGAGUCUGAAUCAGACCAUGCUCUUGCUUUGCAUUUGGGGGUCUUAUGUGGCCUCAUGGCAUUGAAGAGACAGGAGAGCUGGCUGAAGCUGAGUGUCAUGAGUAGGCCUUGCUGUAGGAAAUUUGGAAAGAGCUGGUCAUUUUCAUCUGAUUAAAGCUAGCUCCAUGCAAACCUCACCAGGGAUUCCCUGAAAAUGACCCUUCCCCAACGGGCCACAGCAUCGAGCUCCAUUGAGGAUGCCAGCCCCGGGCCUGGGAGAAGCAGCUCGUGCCUCCUCUCUCUGUCUGCCUAUUUGUGCUGCUGCAACAAAACACCAGAGACUGGGUCAUUUAUAAAGAACAGCAACUUAUCUCUCACAGUUCUAGGGGCUGGGAAGCCAAGAUCCAAGUGCUGGCAGACUUGGUGUUGGUGAGAACUUGGUCUCUACGUCAAGAUGGUGCCUCUUGCUGGACCCCGCUGAGGGGAUGAGAACCUGUCCUCAUGUGGUGGGAUGGAUGGAAGGGUGGAUUGGGGAGGGAUGGGAGGGAGUGUGCGGGUGGUA